rnacentral:rRNA from 1 species
GUCUACGGCCACACCACCCCGAACGCGCCCCAUCUCGUCUGAUCUCCGAAGCUAAGCAGGGUCGGAUCUCGUUAGUACUUGGUGGGAGAUCGGUGGUGCCGUAGGCU